CACCUGGGGAUUACUUGGUGCGUAAAGCGUUGCGUAGGCGGUUUGUUAGUCUGCUGUGAAAUCCCCGGGCUCAACCUGGGAAUGGCAGUGGAUACUGGCAGGCUAGAGUGUGUCAGAGGGUGGUGGAAUUCCCGGUGUAGCGGUGAAAUGCGUAGAGAUCGGGAGGAACAUCAGUGGCGAAGGCGGCCACCUGGGACAACACUGACGCUGAGGCACGAAAGCGUGGGGAGCAAACAGGAUUAAAUACCCUGGUAGUCCACGCCCUAAACGAUGCGAACUGGAUGUUGGUCUCAACUCGGAGAUCAGUGUCGAAGCUAACGCGUUAAGUUCGCCGCCUGGGGAGUACGGUCGCAAGACUGAAACUCAAAGGAAUUGACGGGGGCCCGCACAAGCGGUGGAGUAUGUGGUUUAAUUCGAUGCAACGCGAAGAACCUUACCUGGCCUUGACAUGUCCGGAAUCCUGCAGAGAUGCGGGAGUGCCUUCGGGAAUCGGAACACAGGUGCUGCAUGGCUGUCGUCAGCUCGUGUCGUGAGAUGUUUGGGUUUAGUCCCGCAACGAGCGCAACCCUUGUCCUUAGUUGCCAAUCAUGUAAUGGGU
rnacentral:rRNA from 1 species